GACGAACGCUGGCGGCGUGCCUAAUACAUGCAAGUAGAACGCUGAAGGAGGAGCUUGCUUCUCCGGAUGAGUUGCGAACGGGUGAGUAACGCGUAGGUAACCUGCCUGGUAGCGGGGGAUAACUAUUGGAAACGAUAGCUAAUACCGCAUAACAGUAGAUGUUGCAUGACAUUUGCUUAAAAGGUGCAAUUGCAUCACUACCAGAUGGACCUGCGUUGUAUUAGCUAGUUGGUGAGGUAACGGCUCACCAAGGCGACGAUACAUAGCCGACCUGAGAGGGGGAUCGGCCACACUGGGACUGAGACACGGCCCAGACUCCUACGGGAGGCAGCAGUAGGGAAUCUUCGGCAAUGGACGGAAGUCUGACCGAGCAACGCCGCGUGAGUGAAGAAGGGUUUCGGAUCGUAAAGCUCUGUUGUAAGAGAAGAACGAGUGUGAGAGUGGAAAGUUCACACUGUGACGGUAGCUUACCAGAAAGAGACGGCUAACUACGUG
rnacentral:rRNA from 1 species